UACGUGGGUGGCAAGCGUUGUCCGGAUUUACUGGGCGUAAAGAGCGCGCAGGCGGUCGGAUAAGUCGAAUGUGAAAGCCCCCGGCUCAACUGGGGAGGGUCAUUCGAUACUGUUCGACUCGAAGGCAGGAGAGGGAAGUGGAAUUCCCGGUGUAGUGGUGAAAUGCGUAGAUAUCGGGAGGAACACCAGUGGCGAAGGCGACUUCCUGGCCUGUUCUUGACGCUGAGGCGCGAAAAGCGUGGGGGAGCAAACAGGG
rnacentral:rRNA from 1 species